GUGCUCGUUUUGGCAGCACAUAUACUAAAAUUGGAACAAUACAGAGAAGAUUGGCAUGGCCUUUGCAAGAAAGACAUUCAAAUUCACGAAGUGUUCCAUAUUUUC